GGGCUUGUGGUUUAGUGGUAUAAUACUCCCUUAGCAUGGGAGUGGUCCAGGGUUCGGUAAGCUUAGCAAACUCA
rnacentral:tRNA from 2 species